GGAAUGUAGCUCAGAGGUAGAGUGCUUGCCUAGCAUGCACGAGGUCCUGUGUUCAAUCCCCAAAUCCA
rnacentral:tRNA from 1 species